ACAAAUGGGAGAGGGGCAGAGAGAGAGGGAGAUAACAGAAUUUGAAGCAGGCUCCUGGCUCUGAGCUGUCAGCACAGAGCCCCAGGUGGGGCUCCAACCCACCACCAAGGAGAUCAUGACCUGAGCCAAAGUUGGACUAGCCACCCAGGUGCCCCAGAGAUUCUCUGAACUCUUAAUUCCAAGAAGCUACUUCAAGUAAGGUGGAUGUCAAUAAUUAAAGAAUUUGAACCUCUUCCAAGAAAGUUGGGAAAUUUCCCCUACCUGUGUCUUUAGCAGUAUUUCCUUCAUUUCCUAGGGAAAUUAUUCUCUUCCUCCCACUUCACUUGCUACGCUAUAGCCAUAGGAAGAUAAAUAAAUCAUCAUCUCUGUCUUGAAGUUGCUCACAGUAUAAAUGGAAAAUGCUAAAAUGGAGAUAACAUGCUCUGGAACGGAGAAGAAACAAGUUGACUAGGGACAACAAGCCAGAAAUGAUUGGUAAUACACGUGUAUACCCAAAUCAGAAGAUUUUUUUUUUUUUAAUUCAAGACUUGAAACCUCCAACCACAUCUGCCCAUUCAUCAUUCCAGACAUUUUGCACUGACAAGCAAUGAAGGCUGAGAGAACAAAGGAACUUAUGGCCUGUGACCUCUCAUGACAAACACCCCUAAGAGCUGGCAUGUCCAGAGACUGAGAACCCUAUUCAACUGGCCUGCAAAGUGCACCCUGGGCACUCCCCAGUCCUGCAGAGUGGAGCAGUUAGAACUCAAGCAAAAGGCUAGUCUCUGAGGCUGUCAGAAUGGCUGAAAAGUGAAGACUCUAGAAAGCAGAUGACCACAUAGGAGGAGUAGUGAAUUCUGCAUAUAGAUUCAGCCCAAGUCUUUGACUUCUGUUCUGCACAUUCAUGGGAGAAACGCCAAGCAGCACAGCUAGAAGAAGCAGGCUAACAGGAGGUCUAGGCAGAGAUUACCAUUGCUGGUGACCAUAGAGGAGACAGAGUUCAGAAUUUGAGUCUAAUAGAACAACACUCACCAGUUUCCAGAAUACCGCGGAGCAUCCAUGUUUGGCAAAAGUAUCAUUCAAAAUUUGAAGGCAUAACAAAGACAUUUUCAGACAAAGGCUGAGAGAAUACAUCACCAGCAGACUUGAAGGAAUAUGAUAUAGUGUGGAAAUUUGGAUCUUCACAAAAGGAUAAAGAGUGCCAGAAAAGAAGAGGAAGACACCACCAGAUGACCCAGACUGAUCUUAUCUCGAGAUAAUUUCCUUCGAAGAGAAAUCAGGAAGGAAUUUGUUAUGCAGAAUUUGGGAUUUGGCCAGAAGAUCUGGAAGCAUCUAAAGCCUGCUGAGGAAUGACAAUUUUCAAAUGCCUGGUACACAAAAUAACUUUAAAAUUUUCUGUUAGCUUGUUGCUUUUGGGGGAAGAGUUUCUUUUGAUUUGUCCUUUGACUCUUCACGACCUGUGACCUGUUUCCAACCCAGGACCCGGUUCUUCUGAGGAUGGAAGGGAGUUGGAACUCUGCUCAAAUAUUCUUUCCCUUUCUCACAUCCCAACCCCUUCUGUGAUCCAAGCCCUCAAAACAUAAAUGAUGGUCAUCUUUCAAUUUUGAAAUUAUAACACUAAACGUUUCUUUAUUCAAGGAA